UACAGAGGGGGCAAGCGUUGUUCGGAAUUACUGGGCGUAAAGAGCUCGUAGGCGGCUUGUCACGUCGGGUGUGAAAGCCCGGGGCUUAACCCCGGGUCUGCAUUCGAUACGGGCGGGCUGGGAUUCGGUAGGGGAGACUGGAAUUCCUGGUGUAGCGGUGAAAUGCGCAGAUAUCAGGAGGAACACCGGUGGCGAAGGCGGGUCUCUGGGCCGAUAUCGACGCUGAGGAGCGAAAGCGUGGGGAGCGAACAGG
rnacentral:rRNA from 1 species